AGUCUGAUUCGGGCCCAAUAUAAAAUUCUAGCUUCAUAUGAGUUGGAACUUCCUGGACCAAGUGGUAGAAUUAGUGAUCCUCCUCCUGGCAAGAUUGGCCUAUACGAAGAGGCAUUUCAGACUGGGCUUAGACUGCCUGUUCAUCCUUUCAUUGUAGAGAUCUUCAUUUCUUCAACAUCUCCUUUUGUUCUAUCAUUUCAAACUCCUUGUAUUUCAUAGUUGGCUUCAUCACCCUUUGUGUCUUGACUAAAGUCCAACCGUCUAUUUCUCCCUUCUGAU
rnacentral:lncRNA from 1 species